rnacentral:rRNA from 1 species
AGUGAACGCUGGCGGUAGGCCUAACACAUGCAAGUCGAACGGCAGCACAGUAAGAGCUUGCUCUUACGGGUGGCGAGUGGCGGACGAGUGAGGAAUACAUCGGAAUCUACUUUUUCGUGGGGGAUAACGUAGGGAAACUUACGCUAAUACCGCAUACGACCUACGGGUGAAAGCAGGGGAUCUUCGGACCUUGCGCGAUUGAAUGAGCCGAUGUCGGAUUAGCUAGUUGGCGGGGUAAAGGCCCACCAAGGCGACGAUCCGUAGCUGGUCUGAGAGGAUGAUCAGCCACACUGAAACUGAGACACGUUCCAGACUCCUACGGGAGGCAGCAGUGGGGAAUAUUGGACAAUGGGCGCAAGCCUGAUCCAGCCAUACCGCGUGGGUGAAGAAGGCCUUCGGGUUGUAAAGCCCUUUUGUUGGGAAAGAAAAGCAGCAGGUUAAUACCCCGCUGUUCUGACGGUACCCAAAGAAUAAGCACCGGCUAACUUCGU